GACGAACGCUGGCGGCGUGCUUAACACAUGCAAGUCGAACGGAAAGGCCCUGCUUUUGUGUGGUGCUCGAGUGGCGAACGGGUGAGUAACACGUGAGUAACCUGCCCUUUACUUUGGGAUAACUUCAGGAAACUGGGGCUACUACCGGAUAGUAGCUCCUGCUGCAUGGUGGGGGUUGGAAAGUUUCGGCGGUUGGGGCUGUACUCGCGGCUUAUCAGCUUGUUGGUGGGGUAGUGGCUUACCAAGGCUUUGACGGGUAGCCGGCCUGAGAGGGUGACCGGCCACAAUGGGACUGAGAGACGGCCCAGACGCCUACGGGAGGCAGCAGGGGGGAAUAUUGCACAAUGGGCGGAAGCCUGAUGCAGCAACGCCGCGUGCGGGAUGACGGCCUUCGGGUUGUAAACCGCUUUCGCCUGUGACGAAGCGUGAGUGACGGUAAUGGGUAAAGAAGCACCGGCUAACUACGUG
rnacentral:rRNA from 1 species